rnacentral:rRNA from 1 species
AAGUGAGAAUGCCGGUGUGAGUAGCGAAAGACGGGUGAGAAUCCCGUCCACCGAUUGACUAAGGUUUCCAGAGGAAGGCUCGUCCGCUCUGGGUUAGUCGGGUCCUAAGCUGAGGCCGACAGGCGUAGGCGAUGGAUAACAGGUUGAUAUUCCUGUACCACCUAUAAUCGUUUUAAUCGAUGGGGGGACGCAGUAGGAUAGGCGAAGCGUGCGAUUGGAUUGCACGUCUAAGCAGUAAGGCUGAGUAUUAGGCAAAUCCGGUACUCAUUAAGGCUGAGCUGUGAUGGGGAGAAGACAUUGUGUCUUCGAGUCGUUGAUUUCACACUGCCGAGAAAAGCCUCUAGAUAGAAAAUAGGUGCCCGUACCGCAAACCGACACAGGUAGUCAAGAUGAGAAUUCUAAGGUGAGCGAGCGAACUCUCGUUAAGGAACUCGGCAAAAUGACCCCGUAACUUCGGGAGAAGGGGUGCUCUUUAGGGUUAACGCCCAGAAGAGCCGCAGUGAAUAGGCCCAAGCGACUGUUUAUCAAAAACACAGGUCUCUGCUAAACCGUAAGGUGAUGUAUAGGGGCUGACGCCUGCCCGGUGCUGGAAGGUUAAGAGGAGUGGUUAGCUUCUGCGAAGCUACGAAUCGAAGCCCCAGUAAACGGCGGCCGUAACUAUAACGGUCCUAAGGUAGCGAAAUUCCUUGUCGGGUAAGUUCCGACCCGCACGAAAGGCGUAACGAUUUGGGCACUGUCUCAACGAGAGACUCGGUGAAAUCAUAGUACCUGUGAAGAUGCAGGUUACCCGCGACAGGACGGAAAGACCCCGUGGAGCUUUACUGUAGCCUGAUAUUGAAAUUCGGCACAGCUUGUACAGGAUAGGUAGGAGCCUUUGAAACGUGAGCGCUAGCUUACGUGGAGGCGCUGGUGGGAUACUACCCUAGCUGUGUUGGCUUUCUAACCCGCACCACUUAUCGUGGUGGGAGACAGUGUCAGGCGGGCAGUUUGACUGGGGCGGUCGCCUCCUAAAAGGUAACGGAGGCGCUCAAAGGUUCCCUCAGAAUGGUUGGAAAUCAUUCAUAGAGUGUAAAGGCAUAAGGGAGCUUGACUGCGAGACCUACAAGUCGAGCAGGGUCGAAAGACGGACUUAGUGAUCCGGUGGUUCCGCAUGGAAGGGCCAUCGCUCAACGGAUAAAAGCUACCCCGGGGAUAACAGGCUUAUCUCCCCCAAGAGUUCACAUCGACGGGGAGGUUUGG